AUGCUCAUUUGGAAUUCAGAAUGUAUUUUACCACAGAAAUAAUAAGAAACUCUAACAAUAUUACUUUGGAUUGUGUGGGUCUGGGACUGCCUGCCCUCUGCAGGGCUGUGCUUGGCGAUUUGGAAGAGAAGAGGAGGAAGGAGUCCUGGUUCCUGACCUCAAGGCAUUUGCAGGUUCCACUGGGAGACAGGGCCUGCAAUGAAAUUGUUACUUCAUCCCAGAAACAGCUCCGUCUUCACCGGUUUGCAAAAGAUACCAAUGUCACAGCAUAGCCAACACUAGAAGCUGACAAGUCGUACCUGGGGUCCUGGAGAUGAUUCACGGUCCCUUCUCUUUUCACAGGUUCCGGUCCUC